rnacentral:rRNA from 1 species
UACGGAGGGUGCAAGCGUUAAUCGGAAUUACUGGGCGUAAAGCGUGCGUAGGCGGCUUGUUCAGUCAGAUGUGAAAGCCCUGGGCUUAACCUGGGAACUGCAUUUGAUACUGGCAGGCUAGAGUUUAGUAGAGGGGAGUGGAAUUUCAGGUGUAGCGGUGAAAUGCGUAGAGAUCUGAAGGAACACCAGUGGCGAAGGCGGCUCCCUGGACUAAAACUGACGCUGAGGUACGAAAGCGUGGGUAGCAAACAGG